ACAGUCACCAGCCGCACACACCGGAUCAUGGCUGCAGCCACACUAGGACAGGUCUGGGCCCGAAAGCUUCUGCCUGUUCCCUGGCUUCUAUGUGGGUCCAAAAGAUGUGUGUCCUCCAUAUUCAAGGCUGCAGACCUCCAGAUUCAGAUGACCAAAGAACCACAGAAGAAGCCAGCCCCUAGCCAGGCACUGCUGUUUGGGAAGACCUUCACAGACCACAUGCUGAUGGUGGAGUGGAAUAACAAGGCUGGAUGGGGCCCACCAAGGAUCCAGCCCUUCCAGAACCUCACGCUACACCCAGCCUGCUCUGGUCUGCACUACUCUCUGCAGCUCUUUGAGGGCUUGAAAGCAUACAAAGGUGGAGACCAGCAGGUACGCCUCUUCCGGCCCUGGCUCAACAUGGACAGGAUGCUACGUUCUGCUAGGCGCCUCUGCCUGCCAGACUUUGACAAGCAGGAGCUGUUGGAGUGUAUCCGCCAGCUCAUUGAAGUAGACAAAGACUGGGUUCCCGAUGGCAACGGAACGAGCCUCUACGUGCGGCCCGUGCUGAUCGGGAAUGAGCCCUCGCUGGGUGUUGGUAUGGUCACACAAGCCCUCCUGUACGUCAUUCUGUGCCCUGUGGGCUCCUACUUCCCUGGAGACUCCAUGACACCUGUCUCCCUCCUGGCGGACCCUUCAUUCGUCAGAGCCUGGAUAGGCGGAGUCGGUGACUGCAAGUUGGGGGGCAAUGCAGAGACAGGGGCAGCCUGGGCCACUGAGUGAGUUCCAGGACAGCCAGGGCCACACAGAGAAAUCCUGUUUCAAAAACUAAAACCAAAAAAGAAGAGUAGAGCAAGCGGAGCCGCUUGGUGUCACCACACCCGCGACCUUAGUCGCUGGAGAAAGGAUGAACUGGACGCAGGAGAAGGAGCUGACCAAACGGGGCCUCAGCCUUGAGCCCAACUAUUAGGUUAAGAAGUCUGUCCUGAAGGUUUAGGGGGCCACCGUUGGGCUGUGGGUUGGGGAAGGAGACUCCUUCUUGGCUGUGUUGUGGGGAGUACGGGGAAUUCUUUGCCCAGUGUGACCAGGCUGCCCUCCAGGAACUAUGGACCCACUGUGGCUGUGCAGCGAGAAGCCCAGAAGAGAGGCUGCGAGCAGGUCCUCUGGCUGUACGGGCCAGACCACCAGCUCACUGAGGUGGGCACCAUGAACAUCUUUGUCUACUGGACCCAUGAAGACGGAGUACUGGAGCUGGUAACCCCCCCACUGAAUGGCGUCAUCUUGCCUGGAGUAGUUCGACAAAGUCUGCUGGAUCUGGCCAGGACUUGGGGUGAGUUCCGGGUGGCAGAACGCAAGGUCACUAUGAAGGAAUUGAAGCGGGCGCUGGAGGAAGGCCGAGUGCGAGAAGUCUUCGGCUCAGGCACUGCUUGUCAGGUCUGCCCGGUGCACCAAAUCCUGUAUGAAGGCAAGCAACUCCACAUACCUACCAUGGAGAACGGCCCAGAGCUCAUCCUGCGCUUCCAGAAGGAACUGAAGGCUAUUCAGUACGGAGCCAGUGCCCACGAUUGGAUGUUUCGGGUGUGACGGUGGGGGCUGUGCCCUCCCUGGUUGGAUCUGCAGACGUGCCGCAUCUAGUCCAGCGUCCUCGCUUCCCAGAGACUCAAGAGAAGUGCAAUAGGGAAAGGUCUGUCCAGAUGCUGGAUCUCUGGCACCCCCUCGUGGACGUUACACUCCAAAGCCUUAAGGGCGGGACCCAUGCAAUUUGGACGCCACCUCAAAUUUUGGGUCUCAGGACUCAGCUGCUCCGCGUCCUGGUGUUCAAGGGAGAACCUUGGCUUCUUCUCUAUCUCCGUUCUCAGGCCGGAUCCCCGGUGCUCUUCGUGUCCUUCCCCCCCCCCCCCUUUUCUCCGUACUUGCUGCAAUUUUGAAAUAAAAUGCCAAAGAACAAGA